rnacentral:tRNA from 1 species
GUCCUGUUUACAUGGGUUUAAAUCCUGUUUCUAUCA